CCGAUAAGGUGUAAAAGUAUAUAACUCUGUUCACGAGCUACUCCUACUUACCAAGAUUUGAUCGACUUCAGAGAGAAACUCCACUUGGAAUCAUCUAAUACGAGCAUUCAGUUACAUGGAAAAGUUCUCCGGCUGUAUGUGCAUCCACGGCACUGAAAGGAUCAUCAAGGAGAUAAAUAUCAGCAUCAUUAUAUACAGCACGAGCGAGCUGAAUCCUUUGCUUCUGUCCUCCACUCAAUUUCCAUCGGCUUUCCGUAAAGAAUGUUGUCUCGGAUAUUACCACUCUGGAUCCAAGAAGUUUGAGAUACAUAUGCAAUCG